AGUGAACGCUGGCGGCAGGCCUAACACAUGCAAGUCGAGCGGCAGCGCGUCCGACCACCCUCGGGUGGUCGGAUGGCGGCGAGCGGCGGACGGGUGAGGGAAUGCAUCGGAAUCUGCCUCGUUGGUGGGGGAUAACGUAGGGAAACUUACGCUAAUACCGCAUACGACCCUACGGGUGAAAGGUGGGGGACCUUCGGGCCUCACGCGAUGAGAUGAGCCGAUGCCGGAUUAGCUAGUUGGCGGGGUAAGGCCCACCAAGGCGACGAUCCGUAGCUGGUCUGAGAGGAUGAUCAGCCACACUGGAACUGAGACACGGUCCAGACUCCUAC
rnacentral:rRNA from 1 species